AUGCCAAGGCAACCGCCCGCUCCGUGGGUGAGCACCAACGGUGCACCAGGCUGGACCCUCGGCUCCGACAACCGCUGCAAACCAUGCUGGGCCUUCGGCUCCGGCUCCGGCCGUCGCCGACGACUACAUCGUAACGACAACUCCGCCGCCAUCUGUCUUCACCAUCCCUCCGAUGGAUUGGCUCCUUGGAGGUCCAUCGGCGCCAUUCCUCGGAGAAGAAGAGAUGUUCCCUUGCGAACUCGCGCCGCCACCUCUGCCCCCGUACUGCGUGCGGCACGGGUUCGAAUCGUGUCCAUCGCGUACGGCGCACCGCCGCGGAAGCCGUCUCUAACGCCAUCAGACGAACUGCCGGAGCACUUCAUCCCUCCUGGAUACGGCCCCGUCCCGGAUCUCCCAUCCCCGACGCCGGCGGCAGCGGGAACCGGCGGCUACCCCUUCAUCCCCGACUUGAACAUCAAGAUUAAGGUUGAAGAAGAGGAGAUAGAGGAUCAGGGCUCGUCGUCGACGCCACCACCUUCAUCACCGGCGACACCACCUCCUCCUCCGGCACCGCCUCUUCCUCCGACGCCUCCGCCGGAAGCCUGCCGGAUCCCGCGCCAAUUCGCCGCGGCCAUGGCGCAGAACCGUGCAGCCCUUCGUGGCGCGUGGUGGCCGGAUGCCCUUGGCCUCACCGGCGCCCCUGGGGCGAGCAGCAGCGGAGCAGGCCGUGCUGCGAAGCGGGGCCCACCUCGCUUCCAUUGA
rnacentral:rRNA from 1 species